GCACCUAAGCCCAAAUUGGGCGCACUUAUUAGAUCAAGACCAAUCGGGGCAACCCGUUUUGGUGACUCUGAAUAAUUUAGCUGAUCGCAUGGUCUUGUACCGGCGACGUAUCGUUCGAGUGUCUGCCUUAUCAACUUUCGAUGGAAGUCCACGUGACUACCAUGGUUGUAACGGGUAACGGAGAAUAAGGGUUCGACUCCGGAGAGGGAGCCUGAGAAACGGCUACCACAUCCAAGGAAGGCAGCAGGCGCGUAAAUUACCCACUCUCAAUGCGAGGAGGUAGUAACUAUCAAUAACGAGACAGUUCUCUAUGAGGCCUGUUAUCGGAAUGGGUACAAUUUAAACCCUUUAACGAGGAUCUAUGAGAGGGCAAGUCUGGUGCCAGCAGCCGCGGUAAUUCCAGCUCUCAAGGUGUAUAUCGUCAUUGCUGCGGUUAAAAAGCUCGUAGUUGGAUCUGAGUCUGUGGAGGCGGUGCACCAUGUGUGUAACUGUGGUCCCGGACUGUUUUGUUGGUUUUCUGCAGUUUGCCUUAACCGGUAGGCUGUAGUAGCUGACACGUUUACCUUGAAUAAAUCAGAGUGCUCAAGACAAGCGUUUCGCUUGAAUAUUCGUGCAUGGAAUAAUGGAACAGGACUUCGGUUCGUUCUAUUGGUCUUAGAACCGAUGUAAUGGUUAAGAGGGACAGACGGGGGCAUCCGUAUCGCUGCGUGAGAGGUGAAAUUCUUGGACCGCAGCGGGACGUCCAACUGCGAAAGCAUUUGCCAAGAAUGUCUUCAUUAAUCAAGAACGAAAGUCAGAGGAUC
rnacentral:rRNA from 1 species